UACGUAGGUGGCAAGCGUUGUCCGGAUUUACUGGGUGUAAAGGGCGUGCAGCCGGAGAGACAAGUCAGAUGUGAAAUCCACGGGCUCAACCCGUGAACUGCAUUUGAAACUGUUUCCCUUGAGUGUCGGAGAGGUAAUCGGAAUUCCUUGUGUAGCGGUGAGAUGCGUAGAUAUAAGGAAGAACACCAGUGGCGAAGGCGGAUUACUGGACGAUAACUGACGGUGAGGCGCGAAAGCGUGGGGAGCAAACAGG
rnacentral:rRNA from 1 species